rnacentral:rRNA from 1 species
UCAGGAUGAACGCUAGCUACAGGCUUAACACAUGCAAGUCGAGGGGCAGCGAGAGGAAAGCUUGCUUCCUGUCGGCGACCGGCGCACGGGUGAGUAACGCGUAUCCAACCUUCCCCAUAGUAGAGGAUAGCCCGGCGAAAGUCGGAUUAAUACUCUAUGUUGUGUCAUGAGGACAUCUGAAUAACACUAAAGAUUUAUCGCUAUGGGAUGGGGAUGCGUCUGAUUAGGUAGUCGGCGGGGUAACGGCCCACCGAGCCGACGAUCAGUAGGGGUUCUGAGAGGAAGGUCCCCCACAUUGGUACUGAGACACGGACCAAACUCCUACGGGAGGCAGCAGUGAGGAAUAUUGGUCAAUGGACGAGAGUCUGAACCAGCCAAGUAGCGUGCAGGAUUGACUGCCCUAUGGGUUGUAAACUGCUUUUAUGCGGGAAUAAAGUCAGGUACGUGUACCUGUUUGUAUGUACCGCAUGAAUAAGGACCGGCUAAUUCCGUGCCAGCAGCUGC